CUUUUCUGUUGGGAAAACAAACCACAUAUAAGUACACAGAAACGAGUAACGGGUCAGGUCAUGAUCUGUGCUAGAACAACCUAGGAGGCCAACGCACAGCGACUGGGGAACGUGUUUCACCCGGGGUGCUCCGGGCCAGCCUCGGGUAAGGUGGCAUUUCCAGAAAGAAAUGGUAUUAAGAUUGACUUGGAGAAGGGGAAGAGUGGCACAUGCUUACGAUUCCCAAGGAUCACAAGUUCGAGGCCAAUCUGGGCAGCGUGAAAUCACUCUGUUUUUGCCACACACUGAACAUUCAAAGCCAGACGCUCUUGUUUCUGCUGGAGAAGACAGUGGAUUUCUAAUCUUUCCCUGCUUCUGACUCGGGGGAGUGCGCUCUGUCUCGUCGCCCAGGGCCCAGAACUGUGUCCGGCCCGUGCAAGAGUGUACCGUCAGUAUUGCGGAGCUGAGGGGGCAUGUUUGGGGCUUGGAGAGGACGCCAGGACCGGAAAGGCCGUCGGGUAGAAGGAGAACAGAGGACCUUUGGCAUUGCUCUUCUUGCCACCCUUCAGAGACUCUGCAAAGCUAAGUGGGCAGAUUGAACCCGGGGCCUUGAGUCUGCCAAUCCCACACUGCUCCACCGAACUUCACCCCAGCCUCCAAGCCAUCCUUCUUUGCAAGGCCUUCAUUUGGUCCUCGUAAUAACUCUGCAAAGAAGACCUUGCAUCCCGAUCCUGCGGCUGAACAGAGCCAACUCAUCUUCGAGACCUCUGCUCCCUGGGGUCUUCCUGAUCGCGUCAGCCCACUUCCGAGGCUUCCUGCCUUUCUCCAACUUCAGUGUGAAGUUGAUGGCACUCAGCUGGAUACGCUGCGGUAGACCAUUCACAGUGGUUUUCACUUGCUUCCAUGGAUUCAGUGUCAUCCUGCUGUUGGCUGUGAUGUCUCUGAGUGCAGGGAUCACAUCUUUCUCUUGCGACCUUCUCGGUACUGAGGAAAAGGCCAAAGUCUCAGAUUGGUGCUCAGAAGCAAUUUGCUAAGAUCUGAAUGAGACAAAACCAGAAUCAGGAGGUGGAUGAGCUCUGAGAGAAAGGAUUGCUUCUGGCUAUGGACUGGCCUGGACAGGAUGUGGGUGGAGUUGGCUGGCCCCCCAUGGCUAUUUGCAUUUGGGGGUUGGAUGCUUCCACGUCCCUGUCCCCCACUAUUCAUUUGCAUCUGGAAAUUUACAUAGCGCUAAAGCAGCUUCCUGAGUAAAAAAGGUAGCCCUGCCACCUCUCCAUGUCCCUCCUUUGUCCUUCAAAGUCCUGCCUGGGGAGGAGGUGAGGGAGGGGAGCCAGACGCAAAGGGAAGGAGACUGUCUGGGCUUCUUCCUGGGGUUCUCAGUGAAAUUACUCCACAGUUCCAUAGUAACCUACCUACCCCAGCUCCCUCCUGGGUCAUCUGCCCAGCCAUGCUCUAAGCAAUUGAGACCAGCAAGUCAGACUGCGUGGGGAGGGACACCAUGGAGAAUUUGUCAUCAGUGUGAUGGGACCUCCCUUGUUGGCUCAGGAAGACAAAAUUGCCACUUGUGCUGUUCCCUUGGCCUGGUCCUUUCCCUUGGCCACGCCUGGCAAACUCCCCAAAGCAGUGGCAGGCCCUGAUCAAAGGCCUCAGUGAACAACUCCGUCUGCAGCUAAAAUGGGCACCAAGAGAAAACAAAGGGCUUGAAAUUGCCUCUUCCCCAUUUCUACCUCGGUUUGCUCCUGAGACUGCCUGGUCACUGACUGCCGGGGCCUGCAGCACCUCGCCCUGGGGGUCCCGUUCCACAGUGGUAACUGGGAGCAUCCUGGCCAGGGGAGACCUCGAGCCCUCUGGGUGCUUCUUAACCAGGAGCUGCCUGUCUCGGCCAGGACAAAGGAUGUACUCAGCCUUACCAGCCACAGGACGAAACCAAGGCAGCAGAUGAAAGAAGGGCUGCAAAGCAGCAGUCGCUAGGGGAACGAGGAAAGUUUUGCAGAUGAAGAGAGCAAGGCUUGGCUAGAACACAUGAUUUGGCUGAGAUCACACCAUCUGCAAGUCGGAGAGCUGGGAUCCAGGCCUAGUGAAGGCUCCACCGUCCGCGCAAAAGCUGUGACCCUGUGUUGCCUUCUGAAGG